UGGGGAAUCUUGCGCAAUGGGGGAAACCCUGACGCAGCAACGCCGCGUGGGUGAUGAAGGCCUUCGGGUCGUAAAGCCCUGUCAGGUGGGAAGAAACGUGCCGAUGCAAAUAGCGUCGGCAUUUGACGGUACUACCGGAGGAAGCACCGGCUAACUCCGUGCCAGCAGCCGCGGUAAUACGGAGGGUGCAAGCGUUGUUCGGAAUUAUUGGGCGUAAAGCGCGUGUAGGCGGUUGGGUAAGUCAGAUGUGAAAGCCUUCUGCUUAACGGAAGAAGUGCAUUUGAGACUGCUCAGCUAGAGUACGGGAGAGGAGAGUGGAAUUCCCGGUGUAGAGGUGAAAUUCGUAGAUAUCGGGAGGAACACCAGUGGCGAAGGCGGCUCUCUGGUCCGAUACUGACGCUGAGACGCGAAAGCGUGGGGAGCAAACAGG
rnacentral:rRNA from 1 species